rnacentral:tRNA from 1 species
GGUGGCUCAAUGGUAGAGCUCUUGCCUUGCAUGCAUGAGACCCUGGGUUCGAUUCCUCAGCACCA